AUGGCUAUAUACAGGGAGUACCAGGUAAUAACAUGGCUAUAUACAGGGAGUACCAGAUCAAUGUGGAGCUAUAUACAGGAAGUACCAGAUCAAUGUGGAGCUAUAUACAGGAAGUACCAGAUCAAUGUGGAGCUAUAUACAGGGAGUACCAGAUCAAUGUGGAGCUAUAUACAGGGAGUACCAGUACCAGAUCAAUGUGGAGCUAUAUACAGGAAGUGCCAGAUCAAUGUGGAGCUAUAUACAGGAAGUACCAGAUCAAUGUGGAGCUAUAUACAGGAAGUACCAGAUCAAUGUGGAGCUAUAUACAGGAAGUACCAGAUCAAUGUGGAGCUAUAUACAGGACGUACCAGAUCAAUGUGGAGCCAUAUACAGGAAGUACCAGAUCAAUAUGGAGCUAUAUACAGGAAGUACCAGGGAGUACCAGAUCAAUGUAGAGCUAUAUACAGGAAGUACCAGAUCAAUGUGGAGCUAUAUACAGGAAGUACCAGAUCAAUAUGGAGCUAUAUACAGGAAGUACCAGGGAGUACCAGAUCAAUGUGGAUCUAUAUACAGGAAGUACCAGAUCAAUAUGGAGCUAUAUACAGGAAGUACCAGGGAGUACCAGAUCAAUGUGGAGCUAUAUACAGGAAGUACCAGAUCAAUGUGGAGCUAUAUACAGGAAGUACCAGAUCAAUAUGGAGCUAUAUACAGGAAGUACCAGGGAGUACCAGAUCAAUGUGGAUCUAUAUACAGGAAGUACCAGUUCAAUGUGGAGCUAUAUACAGGGAGUACCAGAUCAAUGUGGAGCUAUAUACAGGAAGUACCAGUACCAGAUCAAUGUGGAGCUAUAUACAGGAAGUACCAGAUCAAUAUGGAGCUAUAUACAGGAAGUACCAGGGAGUACCAGAUCAAUGUGGUGCUAUAUACAGGAAGUACCAGUUCAAUGUGGCGCUAUAUACAGGAAGUACCAGAUCAAUGUGGAUCUAUAUACUGAUGUCUAGUCACUUUACCCUGCCUUCAUGUACAUAUCUACCUCAAAUACCUUAUUAUUAUCUAUCCUGA
rnacentral:lncRNA from 1 species